rnacentral:tRNA from 1 species
GGGCCGUUAGCUCAGCCGGAAGAGCACCGGACUUUUAAUCCGUAGGUCCCGGGUUCGAGCCCCGGACGGCUCACCA